AACUUUUAACAACGGAUUUCUUGGCUCUCGCAUCGAUGAAGAACGCAGCGAAAAGCGAUAAGUAAUGUGAAUUGCACAAAUUAGUGGAUCAUUCAAUUUUUGAACGCACCUUGCGCCCCUUGGGAUUUCCAGGGGCAUGCCCGGUUGAGUGUCAUGG
rnacentral:rRNA from 1 species